UACGGGGGGAGCAAACGUUGUUCGGAAUCACUGGGCGUAAAGGGCGUGUAGGCGGCUGGAUAAGUGGGAUGUUAAAUCCCCCGGCUCAACCGGGGACCUGCAUCUCAUACUGUUCAGCUCGAGCACAUCAGAGGAGACUGGAAUUCCCGGUGUAGCGGUGAAAUGCGCAGAUAUCAGGAAGAACACCAAUGGCGAAAGCAGCUCUCUGGGACGGUACUGACGCUGAGACGCGAAAGCGUGGGGAGCGAACAGG
rnacentral:rRNA from 1 species